AUGGGGCCGCGGGAGCCGGUGGCGAUGGAGAUACCGGCGGAAGGACAGGGAGGGCUGGCGGUGGCGAGGGCGCCGGCCAGUGUGCAGGAGAUCGAGGCCAGGCUCAGGGAGGCCGAGCUCCGGAGGCCGUGUAUUCUGACAUCAUCCUUUUCAAAACAGGAACUGAAAACAGAAGUGAGUAAGGCACGUAUCCAAAUGAUUCAACCAAUCAUAAAAGGCUCUGCUGGGGUGGAGUACCUGCAGAAGGCUUUCGCUGUCGCUAUGGGCCUCCUAGCAAUGCAUCAUCUUCUCUCCCUGUAACGCUGCAAUGGAUUUCAACAUCGAAGAACAUUGUGGAAGAAGAAUGGAGUGAACAUUCAGACUCUCUUUCAGUUCUUCCAUCUGCAAGCCAUGCUCCUAUUGUUGUUCCAGUGCUCCGAGCUGGUCAUGGAGCUGCAGUAGGGCAACCGUCUUCUUCGUCUGCUGCAGGCAGUUCUGGUCAGCCAGAAUGCAAGGGUGAGAAGCUUGACAAACUGAUAAGGAUUGGCCUGUUGCAACUUGUCAGUAGCACAGAGGGCUUGCAAAUGCAGUCGAUUCCUGAGAGCUUCCAGAUUAAUUUACUGAGGCUGAGGGGCGUGCAGAGCCAGUUCCAACAAGUGAUCGUAGUUGCUACGAGCAUGCUCGUCCUGCGUCAAAUUCUGAUGAGUGAGAACUCGAAGGCCACUUCUGCAGAACUGGAAAAUGCUGUCUCAGAACUCUUUAGGCCUCUCGUGAAGAUAUUGGACACCUCCCCUGAUGCCGGCACCGAAGAGAUUGUGGAGGCGAUGAUCAGCACAUCAGCCUUAGUUGGGUCACCGUCAGAUGAGAAGAUUCAGGCAAGGAGGCAGAUGAUCACCCGUGUGUUCCUCAAGAGCCUCCAGCCCGGCGACGUGGUCUUCAAGAAGGUCUCCCGGGCCGUCUACUGCGCCUUCCGCGGUGCUGUCCUGGGUGGCAGCGGCUCCACUGGCCACAAGCUAGCUGAAGGAGCCAUGCGCCGCGUCGGUGCGGCGAAGCUCGUUGACAGGGUGUUGAUGGCCUCUGAGAAGCUGAUCAAGGUGGCCACGGUGUCAUCCAAGGUCCAUGGCCCAUGGUACGAAGCUCUUCUGUGAGUGUGAUGGUUUGGCUCUGUUGUGAAUACAUAUAAACGGUGAAAUGUAAAUUCAUGUCCCACUGGGUGAGGUGGGGAAUAUGGUGUUGUACAGCAAUUCAUGGUUGUUGAUUAGUAGGUAGUUCAGGAUGUGAAGAAUUCUGAGUGCAGGGCGAAUAUGGAUGCCCUUGUACCAGAAUUUAGUCAGGUUCAGAGAUGCUAAAAUGCAUCUGGGAAUGAAAUUGUGACGCUGUCGUUAUUUUCGGGACUGAAUAAUGUAAAUAAUCAUUUGACAGAUAUUUAUGCUGUGUACGUUCUGCUUGUUU